rnacentral:rRNA from 1 species
GAUGAACGCUGGCGGCGUGCCUAAUACAUGCAAGCCGAGCGAACAGACGCGGAGUUUGCUCCUCUGACGUUAGCGGCGGACGGGUGUGUAACAAGUGUAUAACCUACUUAUAUGACUGGUAUAACUUCGGGAAACCGGAGCUAAUCGCGGAUAAUAUAUUGAACCGCAUGGUUCAAUAGUGAAUGACGGGUUUUGUGUCACUUAUCGAUGGAUCCGCGCCGCAUUAGCUAGUUGGUAAGGUAACGGCUUACCAAGGCAACGAUGCGUAGCCGACCUGAGAGGGUGAUCGGCCACACUGGAACUGAGACACGGUCCAGACUCCUACGGGAGGCAGCAGUAGGGAAUCUUCCGCAAUGGGCGAAAGCCUGACGGAGCAACGCCGCGUGAGUGAUGAAGGUCUUCGGAUCGUAAAACUCUGUUAUUAGGGAAGAACAAAUGUGUAAGUAACUAUGCACGUCUUGACGGUACCUAAUCAGAAAGCCACGGCUAACUACGUG